CAAAAACUCUUCCUUAUAUCAACUCUGACCCUUGCUUCAAGUUAUACAGGUGAUUUCUUGUCCCUCCUUGUCCUGGCUUCAGCACAGAAGAAAGAAACCGUGCUUUUAGGAGACCGGAGGAUAUUAAUGCUCCCAGAUUGCAUCGGAAGAGGAACCCAAAAUCUAAGGUUGUCAAGGUCAGUUAGAUGGAAGCUUCUACAGCAGAAGCAGGAUGAAUAGUUAAGACACUUCUAGGAGUGGGGUGGUGUCCUGCAAUCCUGGGUCUCUCUUGUGGGAGAGUUAAAGGAGAUCAGAAAGUGAACCACAAAUAAAAUAAUAGAUGUACACUUUCAAUUUUCCUGGUAAGCACUGUUUUGGGAAUAUGAAUAUGGUAGAUUUGAAAUGUAUCCCAAAUAACCUCCUCUCCUCCAAGGCAAUGGAGAGACAAAGAUAGAAAUACAGGGAUUCAGGUACCACUGGAUGUUGGGAUCUGCUCAGAAGAGGAAAAUGUGUAUCUGGUAUAUUUCCCUACUGCAAAUUGCUCUUGUCAUGUUUGCAUCCUCACACAUCCCUGCUUCCUCUCUCCUCCUUUGUAUGUGAUCCCACAUGAAGUUGCCAUCAGCUGUGCUCUUCCAGCAUGACUUACUGCAUGUACCAGAAACCCUGGUGUGAAACCUGCCAGGCUACUGAGUUCCUGCCUGCACAUGACAAUCUGCUGGGUUGAACAAGUGAGGUGGAGACUGAGUACAGUUUUUCAUUUACACUUCUUCCCUCUAAAAAUUGGAGCUGUGAUGCAUGAGCUUAUAAAGCCAUUAGCAAUUAAACUUUUCUUAGUCACUUCCGGGACUGUGGUUAUCAACAGCUUCAACAUGAAAAUAUUAGUAAAAUGGCAGGCCUGACUAAAGCAGUGGGACUGGAGGAGUUGUGUGUGUGAGCCUUAGAAACACAAAGAAGAGCUGACCUUUCAGUAAGAAAGGGUGUACAGCCAUAGUGGUGAGACAGCUGGUACUCACUGAUUGUGUCACAGCUCUGACAUUCAGCAGCUCCCUUCUCUAGAGAACAUCUAAUUGUUACGUUCAGGAAACACAAGAAUGGAAAAUAUUGGUUGCAGUCCAGUUACACUGCCAAAUACGCCAACUGCUUGAGAGACUGCUGCUCAUCUGUGCUGAGAAACUGGACUGCAGCAGAGGAGGUGAAGAGCCUGAAGAAUGAGUAGGUUGCAAAAUAGCACAUCUACAACUGUUCCACAUGGAAAAGAACUCCAAUGGAAUACAUCUUGUCUGCAGAAACUUUCUAAAAUAUGUGGUUAGAAAAAUUCAUCCUUUUGUAGGUUUGAUGUGUUUGUGGGUUUAUCAGAAAAACCCAAACAGGUUUAUUGCCUGUGCUGAGAGGUUAUUAUAUGGAUCUCUUGUCCACAAAAAACCCCUUUCAUUAUUAUUCAUAAAAAAAAGGAGCAGUGACAAAACUACCCAGAAAGCACAUAUUCAAUUUUACCUGCCAAUGCCUUAUUUGAUCAAGUUGCUUAACUUAAGAGCUAGCACUAAACUCAUUCACAAGCUUGAAAGUCAAGGAAAACUCUUGAGAAGGACUUGCCAAUUUGGUCCAUUGAGGGACUUUAUCAACAUGAUGACUACUUAAAAAAAAAUGCCAUGUCUAUAUAUAAGACAUAAGAUGUCUGCAUUUCAGCUUGGUUUCAUAAAACCACACAGUAAAUUGGGCGGUAUAAGCUUAUCAGUAUAUGUAAGUACCACAAGAUAAAAAUCUAGCUCGAGAAAUUCUAUCCCAGGGUAUUGUGACCCACUUCUCACCAAAAUGAAAUCAAAUGUAUGCAGGCAGACCAGAUGAAUCAAAGAUAAAAUACCUACCUCUUCUCCUAAUCACACUUUUCCUAUGACAGGUCUCUUCAUGUCUGAGAGGGAAACAUGCCCUUUCAGAAGCAUGUGUGUAAUGCAGCAAGUGUAUGAGGCAGUGUUUCCUAGUCUCGUGACUGAGAAAUUGGAAUUCCUUCUCCCUCCCCCAUAAACCCUUUCUCUUUUGUUAACUUGUAUUGCAGACUUGACAUCCUUAUAAGCUCCCAACUUCUCUCUUAUUACUCACAACAGCUUCUUUUGUAUCUACUCUUAGAUCAACAUACCAAUUUCCUCAUACCACCUGGGUUUUUUUCAGCUUUUUCAUUUUAUCUCACUGUUUCUGAGAGUUUUGCUCUGUUGAUCUUACUGAUUAUAAUGUAAAACACUUGUCCUUAUAUUGCUCUUCUCUGAAUAAACCACAUGUUCUUUGC